UUAUAUUAGAAGAGGGUCUUGGACUGUACUAAUAAAAUGAUGUGAUAUUUUGUAUAGCGAUAGUUUAUGGGACUAGAAUUCAUUAUUAAAGAGAAUAAUUAAA